rnacentral:rRNA from 1 species
CAGUAGCCGCGGGAAUACGAAGGGGGCUAGCGUUGCUCGGAAUGACUGGGCGUAAAGGGCGCGUAGGCGGUUUGUACAGUUGGAUGUGAAAUUCCUGGGCUUAGCCUGGGGGCUGCAUUCAAUACGUGCAGGCUUGAGUGUGGAAGAGGGUUGUGGAAUUCCCAGUGUAGAGGUGAAAUUCGUAGAUAUUCGGAAGAACACCAGUGGCGAAGGCGGCUCACUGGACGACUGUUGACGCUGAGGUACGAAAGCGUGGGGAGCAAACAGGAUUAGAUACCCGCGUAGUCCCUGUCUCUUAUAC